UACGAAGGGGGCUAGCGUUGCUCGGAAUCACUGGGCGUAAAGCGCACGUAGGUGGUUUUCUAAGUCAGCUGUGAAAUCCCCGGGCUCAACCUGGGACUUGCAGUUGAAACUGGAAAGCUAGAGUAGGGUAGAGGGGUGUGGAAUUCCAGGUGUAGCGGUGAAAUGCGUAGAGAUCGGGAAGAACACCGGUGGCGAAAGCGCUCUGCUGGACCACAACUGACACUCACAGGACGAAAGCUAGGGGAGCGAAUGGG
rnacentral:rRNA from 1 species